GACGAACCGUGCGAACGUUAUUCGGAAUCAUUGGGCUUAAAGGGCGCGUAGGCGGCGAUAUAAGUUGGAAGUGAAAUCCCAUCCGGCUCAACCGUGGAAUAGCUCCCAGUACUGUAUCGCUCGAGGGGGAUAGGGGUCUGCGGAACUACCGGUGGAGCGGUGAAAUGUGUUGAUAUCGGGUGGGAACGCCAGUGGCGAAAGCGGCAGACUUGACCCUUCCUGACGCUGAGUGCGCGAAAGCUAGGGGAGCAAACGGG
rnacentral:rRNA from 1 species